GCCUAGUUAGCUUAGUUGGUAGUGCGUCUGCCUUGUAAGCGCUAGGCCGCGGGUUCGAUUCCCGCACGGGGUG
rnacentral:tRNA from 1 species